GCUGUUAUGCGGGUUGUAGUUCAGAAAGAUGAACCCGCGGCCCUGGUCGAUGGUGUGGAACAGCGGGUUCCAGUCGAACCAUUGCAGGAUGUGGUUCGGUGUGGUGUUCGCCACCAGCAUCUUGCCCGAAGCAAUCAUGUUGGCCCGCAUG
rnacentral:ncRNA from 1 species